rnacentral:rRNA from 1 species
AUUGUUAGUCGUAGUACCCUGAAUACACCUGAUCUGAUAACAGAAGCUAAGCAGGGUUAGGCCUGGUUAGUACUUGGAUUGCUUUGGCCAUGCUAUAACUGUUGAUU